AUUGAACGCUGGCGGCAUGCCUUACACAUGCAAGUCGAACGGCAGCACGGGUUCUUGCACCUGGUGGCGAGUGGCGAACGGGUGAGUAAUACAUCGGAACGUACCUUAUCGUGGGGGAUAACGCAGCGAAAGUUGCGCUAAUACCGCAUACGCCCUGAGGGGGAAAGCGGGGGACCGUAAGGCCUCGCGCGAUUAGAGCGGCCGAUGUCUGAUUAGCUUGUUGGUGAGGUAAAAGCUCACCAAGGCGAUGAUCAGUAGCUGGUUUGAGAGGACGAUCAGCCACACUGGGACUGAGACAGGGCCCAGACUCCUACGGGAGGCAGCGGUGGGGAAUUUUGGACAAUGGGGGCAACCCUGAUCCAGCAAUGCCGCGUGAGUGAAGAAGGCCUUCGGGUUGUAAAGCUCUUUUGUCAGGGAAGAAACAGCAGCUCUAACACAGUCUGCGAAUGACGGUACCUGAAGAAUAAGCACCGGCUAACUACGUGCCAGCCGCCGCCGUAA
rnacentral:rRNA from 1 species